CCAGACUCCUACGGGAGGCAGCAGUGGGGGAUAUUGCACAAUGGGGGGAACCCUGAUGCAGCGACGCCGCGUGGGUGAGGAAGUACCCCGGUAUGUAAAGCCCUUUCGGCAGGGAAGAAAAUGACGGUACCUGAGUAAGAAGCCCCGGCUAACUACGUGCCAGCAGCCGCGGUAAUACGUAGGGGGCAAGCGUUAUCCGGAUUUACUGGGUGUAAAGGGAGCGUAGACGGCAGUGCAAGUCUGGAGUGAAAGGCGGGGGCUCAACCCCCGGACUGCUCUGGAAACUGUACGGCUGGAGUGCAGGAGAGGUAAGUGGAAUUCCUAGUGUAGCGGUGAAAUGCGUAGAUAUUAGGAGGAACACCAGUGGCGAAGGCGGCUUACUGGACAGUAACUGACGUUGAGGCUCGAAAGCGUGGGGAGCAAACAGGAUUAGAUACCCGAGUAA
rnacentral:rRNA from 1 species